AGAGUUUGAUCCUGGCUCAGGACGAACGCUGGCGGCGUGCCUAAUACAUGCAAGUAGAACGCUGAAGAGAGGAGCUUGCUCUUCUUGGAUGAGUUGCGAACGGGUGAGUAACGCGUAGGUAACCUGCCUUGUAGCGGGGGAUAACUAUUGGAAACGAUAGCUAAUACCGCAUAACAAUGGAUGACACAUGUCAUUUAUUUGAAAGGGGCAAUUGCUCCACUACAAGAUGGACCUGCGUUGUAUUAGCUAGUAGGUGAGGUAAUGGCUCACCUAGGCGACGAUACAUAGCCGACCUGAGAGGGUGAUCGGCCACACUGGGACUGAGACACGGCCCAGACUCCUACGGGAGGCAGCAGUAGGGAAUCUUCGGCAAUGGGGGCAACCCUGACCGAGCAACGCCGCGUGAGUGAAGAAGGUUUUCGGAUCGUAAAGCUCUGUUGUAAGUCAAGAACGGGUGUGAGAGUGGAAAGUUCACACUGUGACGGUAGCUUACCAGAAAGGGACGGCUAACUACGUGCCAGCAGCCGCGGUAAUACGUAGGUCCCGAGCGUUGUCCGGAUUUAUUGGGCGUAAAGCGAGCGCAGGCGGUUUGAUAAGUCUGAAGUUAAAGGCUGUGGCUCAACCAUAGUUCGCUUUGGAAACUGUCAAACUUGAGUGCAGAAGGGGAGAGUGGAAUUCCAUGUGUAGCGGUGAAAUGCGUAGAUAUAUGGAGGAACACCGGUGGCGAAAGCGGCUCUCUGGUCUGUAACUGACGCUGAGGCUCGAAAGCGUGGGGAGCGAACAGGAUUAGAUACCCUGGUAGUCCACGCCGUAAACGAUGAGUGCUAGGUGU
rnacentral:rRNA from 1 species